rnacentral:rRNA from 1 species
UGGAGAGUUUGAUCCUGGCUCAGGACGAACGCUGGCGGCGUGCUUAACACAUGCAAGUCGAACGGAAAGGCCCUUUCGGGGGUACUCGAGUGGCGAACGGGUGAGUAACACGUGGGUGAUCUGCCCUGCACUUUGGGAUAAGCCUGGGAAACUGGGUCUAAUACCGAAUAUUUCCUUUUGGUCGCAUGGCUGGGAGGGGAAAGCUUUUGCGGUGUGGGAUGGGCCCGCGGCCUAUCAGCUUGUUGGUGAGGUUAUGGCUUACCAAGGCGACGACGGGUAGCCGGCCUGAGAGGGUGACCGGCCACACUGGGACUGAGAUACGGCCCAGACUCCUACGGGAGGCAGCAGUGGGGAAUAUUGCACAAUGGGCGCAAGCCUGAUGCAGCGACGCCGCGUGGGGGAUGACGGCCUUCGGGUUGUAAACCUCUUUCAAUAGGGACGAAGCGUAAGUGACGGUACCUAUAGAAGAAGGACCGGCCAACUACGUGCCAGCAGCCGC